GUAUUUACAGGUUCCCCGGACCAAACCAAACCUCCCUCUGCAUAGCUAGCUGCUCUUGGCUAGGAGUAGGGAAAGGAUAGCUGGGGCCCCUUCUGUGCCCCACCCGCCUCCCUUCCAAGCAGGCGCGCCUCUCCCUCCCUCCAGGCUGCUCCCUGGCUGUCGCUGAAUUCCAAAGCUUAGGCGGCUCUUUGAGGUCACGUGGUGCAGUAGGGGUGGGAAUGCAGGAAGCCCCUGACCUAGCAGGCAGCCUCGACACCCUAUGGUGAUGCAGAUUUUGGCCCCUCCUCCCCCGACCUCCCAAAGGCCAGCUUUGGUUUGACCUCUGGCCGGCCUACCGGGGCAAAUUGGGUUUUUACCCUCCUUGAGCCUGCUGCGUGUUUGCUGUUCGCUAAUCAUCUGUACCCCAGCGGUGGUCCGUGUACCUUUCCCAUUCCUAGACCUGGGUGGGAGUCAGGAGGGCACGCCUACUGGAAGGACUGGACUCCCUUGGCAAAAUGUGCAGGGGAGUGAGAAGACUGGUUAAAGCCAGAUACUUAGUGAAGGCCAAGAUUAUCCUCGUCAAGCAAAUUCUAAAUCGGUACCCUCUGUUAAGCCUGGUUGGAGGCCUCUGAAAACUGUCUUUUGGGACAGGGGACCAGGAACUGAGAGGCUCAUUCGGUUUCCUUCCAAAAUGGGUAGACAGAGACUCCAAGCAACUAACUUUGAUUUAGUGUAAACAUUAAAAAAAAAAAAAAAAAAAAAACCUGCUCUGGAGUUGACCUAGGUCACAGGAAGGGGGCCUGGCUUCCGUGCAGGGUUGGAUGGCUAGACAGGAAUGGCUGGCUUGGGACUUGAACACAGCUUACUGCCAACUUGCCUCAGGAGUGCAAUAUUCUCGGGAAGGAAGGAAAGAAGGAAGGAAGGAAGGAAGGAAGGAAGGAAGGAAGGAAGGAAGGAAGGAAGGAAAAAAGGAAGGUAGACAGGGAGGGAGGAAGGAAGACAGUGGGAUGCUGUGCGGAGACCAGCACUCUCGAUAUCUACGAUGAGAGGGAAGUCAUUUCUUCGAGAAUCAUUCGUUCACUCAUUCGAACGUUUAUUAGUAAAAAUGACACGUGCAUCCAUCCGGGACUUCACCGUGCACCAGGCCUCCAAGAGAUCUUGCCCUUACAUACAGCGUUCAGUGGCAGAUGGAAAUUGAGGGCAAUUACAACCCAGUGUCCUAAGGGCUACAGGUGUAGGCAGGGAGAGAAAAGGCGAAGGUCAGGAAGGAAAUAUUCCCUGAGGCAUGAAAGAGAAAGCAGAGUCCAGCAGCUGGACUGAGAGUAGAGUAGGGGAAGGUAGACUCAGAGCUCCAAGCCCAGAGGCAUGGGAACUUGAGUAAAUUCAGCCGAUGGCUGCAGCUGAACAGGAGGGAAUGUCGAAACUGCAUUGGCGACCGAGGGAUAAGUUGAAUAGUGCUCACCCUGGAGGAUAGCGUGUGUGUGUGUGUGUGUGUGUGUGUGUGUGUGUGUGUGUGUGUGUAACCCCUUACCCUUGCCAGUCCACUGAGUUCUGCAGGCAUAUGGCAGGGAGUGAUGUUAGCGCUCUAGCUGCUUUACAAAAAUUAAUAUUUAUCUUAUCAAAAUAGCACGCGCACAGCUUAAACAUCAAAUAGUGCCAAAAGGCUUAUGACAGGAUCAGAAAUCCCCCUGGCUUCUCUCCUAACCCUGAGCCUAGUCCCUGGGGACCACCCUCUCUCUCAUCUCUUAGCUGUUUCUGCUGUUUCCUUCUCUGUUUCUGAAUAAUAUAUAUAUAUAUAUAUAUAUAUACUGGCAUUCGGGAGUCAUCUCUGUAAUUUGUUCCCUUCUUGUUUUGGUAGAGGGUUUCUGCUGGCUCCUUUCCGCUGUGGCCGUCCCCUUUAUGACAUCAUCACGAUGACAUCAUGAACUCUGUAAAUACUGUUGGUUCUGAGGCAAGGGCUCUGUUUACAUCCCCUUUCUGCCAUGACAUUUUGUUGUCUGCCCCGUUUACAUCUCCUUUUGUUUUUCUUAUUACAGCUGCUUUGAUUUUAUUUUUUUAUUUUUGGGCAGAUGUCUCAUUUUGUACUUGCUCCAUGGUUUCUUUUACUUUCUGGCUCUGUCUUCCCACACCCUUCAACAGCUCUGCAAAACGCCCUCAGUACAGUUUUGUAUAUGGCCAAGGCUGUCAGAAUUUUACCAUCUUUCCCUCUCCUCACAGACAUGUGUCCUGGGAUACUCCACCCUGGCAGUUUUGUUCUGAUGUGUUUAGUAGGUCUGUGGAGCAACCUGCCUUUGUAGAUGUCUCAUUUCGUGGAGUGCGUCAUUCUGAGUUCUCUUGGAACGAAAGGCCUCACACUCACUCAGCCAACGCCCUCUGGACACAGCUAUGGCCGAAGCUCUUCUCUGCCCUGGACCCCGGCUUUCCGUUUCUUGCUUGCUUUAGUCUCUUGCUUUAAUGGGGCAAAUCCUCUAGUAGCUCUGUCUAAGACUUAACUAAGAGAAAGACUGCCUAAGAGGGAACU
rnacentral:lncRNA from 1 species